AUCCUUUGUGCUAUCAGUUUUAGUCAUUAAGGGCCGUAUUGCCACACUACCGUGUGAGAUCAUGCAGAUCGUGUGGAUAGACCAUGUGGACCACACGGGCUAGCUUUUUGGGCCUCGUGGGUCUUUUGGGCCAAUUAGGGAUCGACUAAAGGACUCAUAAUUUGGGUCCGAAGGGAUUAUGUAGGCCUAGAAAACGUAAAUUUCAGUAUAACAAACAUGGGUUAACUUCUGACUUAGGACCGGACGACGUGCGAGAGCUUGGAUUGGUUACUAGAUAAAAUAUUUGUGGGUUUAUGAUUUAAUUAUUUUUGGACUAUAAUAUGUUUUUGGUCCUAGUUUUGGUUUUUGUUUUAUUCAUCGACAUUUAAUAUUUUUGAGCAUUAAACU